CCAGCAGCCGCGGUAACUCCAGCUCCAAUAGCGUAUAUUAAAGUCGCUGCAGUUAAAAAGCUCGUAGUUGGAUCUCGGUAUUAUUGUUGCCUGCUGGCUUUAGAGGCACUAGCUGGCCUAGCGGUGCAUGGGUGAGCCUGUGCAGCGUGGGGUCGGCGGCCUUGGGUCGGCGUGGCGGCGGUGAUACCUUUCAGCCAUGUCUGUGGUGCAAUAUCCACAGGUGUAGGCGAGUGCCAGGCGGUGCCCUGCAACUGUGGGGUUCGUCGGCUUGUCUGCAUGCCUACGGAUGCCCUUUAAAAGGUGUCUGUGGGCGGAUGGCACGUUUACUUUGAACAAAUUUGAGUGCUCAAACCAGGCCGAUGCUGCCUGAAAAGUUUUGCAUGGAAUAAUGGAAUAGGACUUCGGUUCUAUUUCGUUGGUUUUCGGAUCCGAAGUAAUGAUCAAAAGAGACAGGCGGGGG
rnacentral:rRNA from 1 species